GGCAUGGUGGCGAAGUGGUUAGCACUGCUGCCUCACAUGAAGAAGGUCAGGGGUUCAAAUCUGCCUCAGGGCCU